AUAUAUAUAUAGAGAGAGAGAGAGAGAGAGAGAGAGAGAGAGAGAGAGAGAGAGAGAGUUGGACUGGGCUACUAUUAGUAGCAAAAUUUCAUUAUUGCUACCAGUUUUUUAGCUUUUGGAUCAACCAUUUUCAUUAUUUCUAACAAUUGGAUUAAAUACUAUAACCCAGUGGGGACCACUCAACCCUACGGGGACCACUCAACUCUAACCGACUAAUAUCAUCCCGACCCUACAAUUUUUCAUCCAAGGGUUAAAAACUUGAUAGCAAAAAAAGCGUUUUACUAUUAAUAGUAUUUCAGCCUAAUUCUAUAUAUAUAUAUAUAUAUAGAGUCCGACUAUUAUACUCUUAUGAGUAUGAUCGCCCUCGUACUCAUAAGUUGUUUUUAAUGAUAGAGCUUCCGAAACGACGAUCCACACCGUUAAACGUUAUCUAGAGCAUUUAAAACUUCUAGAAAUCAAAUUUUAUAAUUUUUUGACAUCAUUUAUCUUACGAUCAAAAGCUCACAAAAUUGACAAUUUUUAACGGCCGGUAUGGAAUACUUGCUAGUUUAACGAUGGAAAAGAAUCGGAAUAGGUUGAAUUUUUGAUUGAAAAUUCUAUUAACCACCUAGAUAAAGAUCAAUAACUUCGAUCUUAAAUUGAAGGAUUCGAUCAUCCAUUUUUAGGACGUCGUUCGAUUUCGACUGUUCAUUUUAUGCCCGCUUGAUGGACUUUAUUAUGAUUUCGAAAAAAUUACGAAAUUUAUUUUCUAGAAGUUUCAAAUACUCUAGAUCAUAUUUAAUAGAGUGGAUCGUCGAUUUGCAAGUUCCACCAUCGAAAACAACUUAUGAGUACUAAGGGCCCACUACUCAUAAUAGUAUAGUAGCCCUACUCUAUAU
rnacentral:lncRNA from 1 species